UACGUAGGUGGCAAGCGUUGUCCGGAUUUACUGGGCGUAAAGAGCGCGCAGGCGGUCAGAUAAGUCGAAUGUGAAAGCCCCCGGCUCAACUGGGGAGGGUCAUUCGAUACUGUUCGACUCGAAGGCAGGAGAGGGAAGUGGAAUUCCCGGUGUAGUGGUGAAAUGCGUAGAUAUCGGGAGGAACACCAGUGGCGAAGGCGACAUCCUGGACCGGCAUUGACGCUGAGGCGCGAAAGCCAGGGGAGCAAAGCGGG
rnacentral:rRNA from 1 species